UACGUAGGGCGCAAGCGUUAUCCGGAAUUAUUGGGCGUAAAGAGCUCGUAGGCGGUUUGUCACGUCUGCUGUGAAAACUGGAGGCUCAACCUCCAGCCUGCAGUGGGUACGGGCAGACUAGAGUGCGGUAGGGGAGAUUGGAAUUCCUGGUGUAGCGGUGGAAUGCGCAGAUAUCAGGAGGAACACCGAUGGCGAAGGCAGAUCUCUGGGCCGUAACUGACGCUGAGGAGCGAAAGCGUGGGAGCGAACAGG
rnacentral:rRNA from 1 species